AUUGAACGCUGGCGGCAUGCUUUACACAUGCAAGUCGAACGGUAACAGACCUUCGGGCGCUGACGAGUGGCGAACGGGUGAGUAAUGCAUCGGAACGUGCCCAGUCGUGGGGGAUAACGCAGCGAAAGCUGUGCUAAUACCGCAUACGAUCUGCGGAUGAAAGCGGGGGACCUUCGGGCCUCGCGCGAUUGGAGCGGCCGAUGUCAGAUUAGGUAGUUGGUGGGGUAAAGGCUCACCAAGCCAACGAUCUGUAGCUGGUCUGAGAGGACGACCAGCCACACUGGGACUGAGACACGGCCCAGACUCCUACGGGAGGCAGCAGUGGGGAAUUUUGGACAAUGGGCGCAAGCCUGAUCCAGCAAUGCCGCGUGCAGGAAGAAGGCCUUCGGGUUGAAAACUGCUUUUGUACGGAGCGAAAAGGCUCCCUCUAAUACAGGGGGCUCAUGACGGUACCGUAAGAAUAAGCACCGGCUAACUACGUGCCAGCCGCCGCCGUAACAC
rnacentral:rRNA from 1 species